rnacentral:antisense_RNA from 2 species
CUUGGCGGAACCGAGCCACAGGGGGUGUUCCCGCUGGGCGCCGUAGGUGGCCAGCAGCGCCUGCGCCUC